rnacentral:rRNA from 1 species
UACGUAGGUGGCGAGCGUUGUCCGGAUUUACUGGGCGUAAAGGGAGCGUAGGCGGGACUUUUAAGUGAGAUGUGAAAUACCCGGGCUCAACUUGGGUGCUGCAUUUCAAACUGGAAGUCUAGAGUGCAGGAGAGGAGAAUGGAAUUCCUAGUGUAGCGGUGAAAUGCGUAGAGAUUAGGAAGAACACCAGUGGCGAAGGCGAUUCUCUGGACUGUAAAUGACGCUGAGGCUCGAAAGCGUGGGGAGCAAACAGGAUUAGAUACCA